rnacentral:rRNA from 1 species
AGAUUGAACGCUGGCGGCAUGCCUUACACAUGCAAGUCGAACGGCAGCACGGGAGCAAUCCUGGUGGCGAGUGGCGAACGGGUGAGUAAUACAUCGGAACGUGCCCAAUCGUGGGGGAUAACGCAGCGAAAGCUGUGCUAAUACCGCAUAAGAUCUACGGAUGAAAGCAGGGGAUCGCAAGACCUUGCGCGAAUGGAGCGGCCGAUGGCAGAUUAGGUAGUUGGUGAGGUAAAGCUCACCAAGCUUCGAUCUGUAGCUGGUC